CCGAGUAGUUCUUCACCAGUCUUUUCCAUGUCAAGAUCAGCACUGAGUAUGAAAGUAUUGAUUUUCAAAAUGCAUAUCAAAUUUACACAUUUGCCACUAGCCAGUUUAUCACCACCUGCUAUCUUGUAUUCAAUUCUGUUACACAAGAGUGUAAAUUAAUGCGGAGUGCAAUCCUCGUAAUUAUUAUAGUUGGGGAGCAAAUGGGGCUGUGCAUAUGCAAGUAUCUAAUUAGCCACGUAAUGGUCGCAUACACGUGAAAAUACCCUGUUCAACUAUGAAAUCGUACCGACUGCUUCAGCUUAUACAACGGUGUGUAUAGUUGCCUUCCUUGCAUAAGGAGAAUUAGGCCUUCUGUUUUUAAUAAUACUGCACCAUUCUGUUCAAUUCUGAGCCCUUAAUCUUGCAUCACAGUAGAACACUCCGGUAGCAACAAAUAAUUGUGUGUUUUUCACACUUUCCAUUUUGUAAAAUGCUACUUCCUGACCUCUGUGAAAUGCAUACAGUGGGCUACUUUGAUGUAUAAUUAGAUUAAUCUUAACUAAAAAGUAUCCUGGUGUAGCUGUGACAGUAAAAAGAAUAAGAUUUUACCUACUCAGGAAUUUUAAUUUUCAGUUGUCUUUUCUCAUGAGAGCUCUGUUGUCUUAGUAUGUCACACAUAGUUUCACCACUUCUGUUUGUUUUAGACUGAGACAACUUGGCCUUAUUAGCUUCUUCUAUCCCCUUCAGUUUUGGUGGGGUCUCAAGUGCCUCCUUAGUUCUAUUGCAAAAGGAAGUCCUCAUAAACCACAUAAAGCCCUAAAAAAGCUGAGGGCAAAAUUGAAUGGAUCUUUGCUCUCAUUGGCUGCAUCUUCCCCUCAUGCAGUGCUGCCACGGGUGUCUAAAGCUCUGCAAAGGGAAAGAGAAUUGCAGGCUGCUGGCUCUCCAUGUCAGAGAGCAUGCAUUCACUCCCAGUACCUUUUCUGGAUCUGCCAAAUGUAUUGCUGGGAUUUCUAGGAUACAACAUCAUCAUUUCAGCACUUCUGUAAUUUACAGACAAAGAACUACGAAAUAGGAACAUAGCUAGGAGGAUUGGGCAUAGUAUGAAGUCAUGCUGUCUAAGGCUGGCCAGAUACUUGCCUUUCCACUCAACUUGUAGAGGCAAAUUUGCUCAUUUCUGAACGUUCUCUACUUCUUUUAGAUGAGCAUCAGCAAGACUGAUAAAAAAAUAGUUGGUGUGUUUUUACUUGGAACUUCUCUCCAAAAAAUGAGAAUUUACUUUGCUUAUAUAGAGUAAUUAAGAAUACUCAUACUCAAUAAUUAAUUUGGGGGUUAAUUUUACCUCUCCCCCCUCUCCCAAUGCAGGCAUCUGCAUACUUCUGUACAUGCACAUAUGCAUACUCCAUUAAAAUUACAUCAGCAUAAGUAUGAAUAUCAUGAACCAAAAGUUUGGCAUCCCUACUAUAGUGACAGCUGACUGCCACCUAUGGGCAGGAGUUCAUGUUAACAUAUUUAGCUAGAAUUUUAAUAUUAUUCUUUGCAAUUAAUUCAAUUUGUAAUUGUUCUAGUAGGACAGAGCUUCAAUUCAUUUGCUAUAUAUUUGUCCACGGCAAUCACUUCUCCCUCUGAAAACUGAAUAUUAAAACCAGCUUCUUUAUGAAGGGGAAUCAGCUUUGCGACGAUUAAAAAAAAUGGGGUAGGACGUUCUUAUUUCUGUUAUCUGAAUAAGGAAUAAAUAGAAGCACCCUACUUCUCCAAGCAAAGAAAAAUGACUCAGUGGUACACAGACAGGCACAUCAACAAGAUAAUGCUGUAUUUAAUGAUUACUGUAAUUUUAAAGUUUAGCCAUCUCAAGGUUGUAAUAUUUUGUUGACGGCCUUCUUUUACUAAAUACAUACAAAUAGGCUGGUUAUGCAGUCCCGUGAAAAUGUGUAUAUAAUUAGUAUGUCAUAGUAAUUCUCUAUUCAAAAAUUUUCAUUUUUCCGAGGAAAAUGAUGGCUAAAGUGGGGGAAGAGAAAGAAGAGCAGAAAAAUGUAUGGCUUGAUUAUGUAAGCCUUGAUUUUUCUGAUAAUCAGUGCUCAUUUACGAAAGAAAAAAAGCAAGUGCAGACUGAAAUGUCAAAUUCAUUGUAUUAAAAAUCGUGUUUCUAAUUCAGCUUCCAGGUACUUAAAAGCAAAUAGGCUGACAAUUCUGUCUAUUUGAUUACAAAUAACAAAAAUGCUCGACUACAGCUACUACAUCGUAGUAUGCUGCAGUAUAUCGUGCAGCCCUCAUCAUUUCUCAGAAAUAACAUACGUAAACAUAGCUGGAACAGUUUAGCGAAUUAAUACAUACAUUUUCGUUUGGGAAAAAAGAUCAUUUUACUUCAGUCAGCAGAAGGUAUUUGUAACCAUAACAUGCUUCCCUUUUUGGGGAAGGAGCGCAGAAUUUUUGAGGGAACAGAGACAGAAAUGAACUUUAAAAGGGGAAAAUAUGUUAAAAGAGACAGAAACUUACAGGAACUAAGAAUGAGUUUGAUAUGAUGAAUUUUUCAAGAUCCCCCUUUUAAAGUAAUUUUAUUUCUGGGCCUCCUCAUUUGUGUUCCACUCUGUUAAAUAUUUUUUUUGAGAUAGUCUGGUAAUUGUAAGUAUUACAUUUGUGCUCAUCUCAUGCGUUUUCACUAAGUUUUAUUUCUAAAGUUACGUCGUAAACUUGGGAAAUACUGUACAAGCAGCAUACACCAUUUUGGUAUCAGACGUUAUCACGUCGGCAUUUCAUGCUUACCCUCCAACAGCAUAAGCACCCUUUAUCAUCUAUGGAAUUCUGACAUUUAUGGUAAAAUAUUUGUACUCAGUACACAAAGGGAUUUUGAAACUUAAGUAACUGUGUUACACAGCAAUUUAAUUCCAAUACAUUUUGCUUCUUACUACUGAAUUAAGAUUGCAAAAACAGUCUGACUUUCUUGUGUCCGACCGGUAACAUUCCCUUGCAUUUUCAAACCACGGUUUAAACCGAACCCACUCAGACUCUUUGGAUAGAAACUUCAUAUCAGACAAAAAUUACUCUUUAGCACGUUUGAUGAAUCCAGCUUAAAACCAAACACAGAACUGCAUGAACAUCUGCGACAAACGACUCGCCUCGGCCAUUCUCUUCUUUCUUAUUUAAUCUCCCACUGGAGUACAGUUUAGUUGGUUUGCUAUUUUAUAGUGCAGAUCUCUCCCUCACCAACCUACUGCUUGCAAAAAAGAACUUUAAAAAUUUCCAUGUGUGAGAACAAAACCUGAGCAGAAUAGGGCUGCACCUUUUAAAAUGGGUACUAGCAGGGGAAGGGAAAGCAACGAACAAGCUAGCACUCCAAAUUUCCAGGAGUAACAAAAAGGGGGAAAAAAAUAUAGGAAAAAUGAAACUGAGGACUGUUAAACUAAUAGAUCAGUUACUAGAAUAUGAAACAGAACCGUCCUUUCCUGGUGAUGCUUCACUGACUUGCUGCUUGCAUACCCACACGAGUAUAAACUGAGAGCAAAAUUUUUCUUAAUGUAGGCAGUAUUACGAAUGUUGAGAUAUUCCUGUUUCAGUAUCUUUAAAUCUGAGGCCUUGUUAAAGAAGACGCUACUUGGAAAGAUCUCUGAGAUACCGGCAAACCCUGCUUGGUUUCUCCUGAUUUUCUUCCACAAAUGAUCUGUUUGAUAGACGGGGGAAAAAUAAAAGAGCAAAUAGCAGGCAAAGCACCUUUAAAGUGCUUGUUGUUACUUUUGUGCCUUUUACAAAAAGACGAGGAAAAUUCCACUUCCCAAGUAAAGAAAUACAGAGCAGUGUAACAUCAUAGCUUUAGAAACUAUUCUUUCUGUUUUUCACACAUCACCUCAAUUUCACCCGAAUGCUGCUUAUACUGCGUAACACAGAUUUUACUUUACAUAAUAUCGCUUAGUGCCUAUAUGGAUUAUUUGUUACCUAAUAACUGUUAGAUUGGUCGUGAAUUUUUACUGUGCUAGGUGUUUUUCAGAACAUAGUUACAUGUCUGCAUUUUUUUGGACAAACUUUCAAAAUAUUACUGUAUUCUGGUCUAUUUCACCAUGAUUUAACACUGCAGGAGUGCAUCCAGAUAUUCAUAACACAAUACGCUUGUAGGCACAACUAAACAAAAAGCAGAUUAGCUUGUGAUGUAGUGGAAUGAGUGGGACUUUCUUCUAAUGGAGAAAAACCUGUUUGCUCAUAAUAAUUCCAUUUAUAGCUGAGAAAGGGAGCAAAGCACCUGGAACUGAGUCAGUGUGAAUUCCAGCAAUGCAAUGAGCUUCACAAAAGCUGUGGUUACCUUGUUUUUUAACUAACCACACUGAGCUGACAGCUAUUAACAGUAGCAAGGACUUGCAUAACGAGGACUUGAAGGAAAGCUUAGCACUAUCCAUGCCAGAGCGAUUUAAAGAGAAUGAAGGCACGUAUUUCUUUAUGAUGCAUUAUGUAACAACAUAGAGGGCAAUCUGAGACAUUUAAAAAGAUACGGGGACCCACAUAUAAUUUUACACUUGUUAUUUUAGAGUGCUUAUAACCCAAUGCUUAUGAAACACCUAACUUAGGAAUGUGAUCCUGUAAAAUGAGUUUAAAAUGUUUUUGAAGACGUGUUUUACGUUUUGUACGUGCUUAGAAAAGCAUAGUAGGUCCUACAAUUCAUUUUCUUCAAAAUUCUGCAAUGUAUGCAAUCUCAGAUAAAAUUGUCAAAAUCUAGGAUAGCUGGACCUUCUGGUUCACAUUAGUGUGAAGAGAAAACUGCUGUUGAGCUGACACGUUGAUAGAUUAUGAGUUCUGCUGAAGAAUAGCUAAAAAUGGUGAUUCAAUCUUGUCGCUACUAUAUAAAAAAAAUAACAGAAGUGGAGAUGUUACUCAUGAUAUCGUGUCUUUCAUCAAAACCCUAAAGGGUUCUGGUGCAUUGAACACGUUUUCCUUCUGAGAGCUUUUGGCUGUAUAAAAUAUCGGUGUAAGUAAAUGAAACUAAAUUGGCCUAUUUAAAAAACAAAUAGGAUGAGCUUUUGUGCCCUAAGUUUAUUUAAACAAGAAAAUAAAGAUUGGAAUAUAAAAAGACUGCCUUUUAAGGUGGUAGGUUCUUUUCCUUUUCAGUUUUUACAAUAGAGAUUCUGGUCUUGUAACGAUGAAAUGGAGAGCUGCAGGAUUAUGAAACAACUAAACACGAAGGGCAAAUCUGACUGGAAGAGACAGAGAUAUUAUUGCAAUUAUCUGAAACUUAGCUGGGUUAGUUCCUUCACUAACCUAAAUCAAUGCAGUUCCUCUGAAAUCAAUAGGGUGAUACAGAUUCAUCCAAAACAUACCUGGCAUGUAAGAUAAUGCGUCACCUUCUGUUAGGACACGUAAACAUAAACACAUGUGGAGAGGACUCUUUUCUAUAUAUCUCCUUAACCUUUAAAUACUCGAAACCGUACUUUUAGGAGAGGCAUUUAUGUACUUCUGCUAUUUUACUCCUAUAUCUCUGUUGGUAUGAAUCUCGUGUGGUCAUUUACACUAAAAUAAAGUCAGGUCCAAACGCUGACUUCAGUCCUCAGUGCUCCGUACUUAUCUGUGCUGCUGCAAAUCACCAGGAAGGGCUCAAGAUGGCAGGGAGCCGGGGCCUUGCUGGCUGCUGUCUUCCUCCCGUGAAAAUCACCGAGCGCUCCCACUGCUCAUUUCUGAAUCACCCAAGGCGUCCUGCAACAACAGAAGGGAACCAAGACUUCACAAUCCUCAUCCUCACCGAUGGGAGAGCAGGGCCUCUCCAGUGUAUUCACAGCUUUUCCUACAAUAAUGCUUCUGGUCGCAGAGAAAUUUUUAUCUCUGAAAAACAUCUCCCCACAGAACCGUGACGUAAGCCCUGCUCUCGGUUUGGGGAUGGAGGGGGAGACGAGCAGUGAGGCACAAAGUUCAGCAUCUCCUCCUGCGGCACAGCACAGCCAGAAUCCAUGAUGAAAUCCCCAACUGCCUCAGCCCCGCUCUGCUCGCUGCCUUACGAGGUGCACACUGAGAAAUCUGGGACGUUUAGGCAGUGUGUGAAGACACCGUGGCCAGAGAUUUGCCUGGUUUUGUUCCUGAAGGACUGCUAUGAGUGGGAGGUCUCAAGUGACCAUGGUGGUUUAAAGAAAGAUCUUGUCACGUGACUCUGAAGUAGAGCAAGGGUUGCAGCAGACUUCAACUUUCAGUCCUACAUUGCUUGUUCAAGAAAGGUCUAGAGAAGAAAGUCCUAAAUAGCAUGGUGAAUUAAAAAAAAAAAAAAAAAAAAGAUAAUUGCAGGAGUAUCAUCACAGAAUGGCCUGGGUUGAAAAGGACCACAAAGAUCAUCCAGUUUCAACCCCCUGCUAUGUGCAGGGUCGCCAACCACCAGACCAGGCUGCCCAGAGCCACAUCCAGCCUGGCCUUGAAUGUCUCCAGGAAUGGGGCAUCCACAACCUCCUUGGGCAACCUGUUCCAGUGUGUCACCGCUCUUUGUGUGGAAAAACUUCUUCCUAAUAUCCAACCUAAACCUCCCCUGUCUCAGUUUAAAACCAUUCCCCCUUAUCCUAUCACUGUCCACCCUUGUAAACAGCCGCUCCCCUUCCUGUUUUUACUCUCCCUUCAAGUACUGGAAGGCCACAGUGAGGUCUCCCCAGAGCCUUCUCUUCUCCAAACUAAACAAGCCCAGUUCCCUUAACAUUUCCUCAUAGGAGAGGUGCUCCAGCCCUCUGAUCAUCUUAGUGGCCCUCCUCUGGGCCCGCUCCAAGAGUAGUAAGUCAAUAGCUGAAAAGUGAUGUGAAAAAGAAGGCAGCUAGAAGAAAUAAAGGAUUUCUUAAAACCACUCCCACCCAGCAAUGCUGUUUCUUGUAUCUUUAGUUUCAUCUGCUUCUCGAAGUCUAUCUUGCCAAAUAUGCCUACCUUUCAAAAUUACUCCAGCUUCGGAAUGAAAGUGUCAGCAGUUGCAAGACUCUUGAGGAGAUGAUGACAGAUGAUGCCUCAAAGAUAAGUAACAUUCUACUAUAUGACCUCUGCCUACAAAAAGCACAGCUUCCCUGGAGAAGACGAUCCCUAUGCCUGAGACAACACUGCUUGUGAAUUCCUAUGCUGAGUGAAUUUCAAAGUUCUAGUUUCCCUACUUUGGGCAGCCACAUCACUCUUCUGUUUUCCUGCAGGAAACAUUGGACUGAGAUUCAUAGCCUUGUUCAUGCUUCCCCAUAUCUUACGUUUUUCCACUUAGAGAGUUUGGUGUCAGCAAAAUCAAAGAAAAUCUCUGAAUAAUUGGCAUUGAUAUAUUCUAUUUUUUUUUUUGUCACUAUGCUAUUUGCAAAAUGAUUGUCAAUGCAGUACAUGAUCUUUUGUCAAAA
ensembl:lncRNA